AAUUUUCAAUACGNGAAACCGUUUAGGGGUAAACNUGAGAAACCCGAAAGGUCGAAGGGAGAAAUUCAUUCGCGUCUCGACGUCUGGCGUCGGGCGGAACGGGACUUUGUGGACGGGAUCGCGGUCGGGUGCGCGCGCGCGUUCUUUGCGGAACGUGCGCGAGCGCGCGCGAUCUCGCACCGUCCGUCCUUCGAACCGGCGACGAACGCGUGCACUUUUCUCCUGGUAGGACGUCGCGAUCCGUCGGGCGUCGGUCUACGACUUGCGGUGGAGCCCGUCCGUCGUCGUCGUUAGCGCGACGACGCGCGGUCGGACCCGCAAUGCAUUCUGGCCGACUCGAAAUUAUAUUUUAACCGACGGUACCGCUCGAGGUCGGAGGCAGCCGCAUGCAUUUGCACAUCUCUCCAUCUCUUGGUGCGCGCGCGCGCGCGUGCGAUCUCUUCGCGGGGGUCGUCGCGUCGCGUCGCUCAGGAGCGUGGCGUGCGUGUGUUUGCGUGCGGCGUCCGACUCGUCGCAAGCGCGCCACGUGCCGACGGCACGCGGACCCAGUGCCGCGUCCGUCCUCUGGCGACUGUUGGCGGCGAGUUUCAUAUCGGACAGACCUCCUCGACCGAUCUGC
rnacentral:rRNA from 1 species